AUUGAACGCUGGCGGCAUGCUUUACACAUGCAAGUCGAACGGCAGCGCGGGCUUCGGCCUGGCGGCGAGUGGCGAACGGGUGAGUAAUGCAUCGGAACGUGCCCAGUAGUGGGGGAUAGCCCGGCGAAAGCCGGAUUAAUACCGCAUACGACCUGAGGGUGAAAGCGGGGGACCGAAAGGCCUCGCGCUAUUGGAGCGGCCGAUGUCGGAUUAGCUAGUUGGUGGGGUAAAGGCUUACCAAGGCGACGAUCCGUAGCUGGUCUGAGAGGACGACCAGCCACACUGGGACUGAGACACGGCCCAGACUCCUACGGGAGGCAGCAGUGGGGAAUUUUGGACAAUGGGGGCAACCCUGAUCCAGCCAUGCCGCGUGCGGGAAGAAGGCCUUCGGGUUGUAAAGCGCUUUUGUUCGGGAAGAAAUCCUCUGGGCUAAUACCCCGGGGGGAUGACGGUACCGGAAGAAUAAGCACCGGCUAACUACGUG
rnacentral:rRNA from 1 species